rnacentral:rRNA from 1 species
AUACGGAGGGUGCAAGCGUUGUUCGGAAUCACUGGGCGUAAAGGGCGCGCAGGCGGCCUGACAAGUCAGAUGUGAAAGCCCACGGCUUAACCGUGGAAGUGCAUUUGAAACUGUCAGGCUUGAGUACCAGAGGGGGUAGUGGAAUUCCCGGUGUAGAGGUGAAAUUCGUAGAUAUCGGGAGGAAUACCGGUGGCGAAGGCGACUACCUGGCUGGAUACUGACGCUGAGGCGCGAAAGCGUGGGGAGCAAACAGGAUUAGAAACCCUUGUAGUCC